ACAGUGGACGCGAGCAUCUGUGGCCAAGUUUUUAAGGGCGCACGGUGGAUGCCUUG
rnacentral:rRNA from 1 species